GCCCUUAGAGUUUGAUCCUGGCUCAGGACGAACGCUGGCGGCGUGCUUAACACAUGCAAGUCGAGCGGAAAGGCCCUUCGGGGUACUCGAGCGGCGAACGGGUGAGUAACACGUGAGCAACCUGCCCCAGGCUUUGGGAUAACCCCGGGAAACCGGGGCUAAUACCGAAUAUUACCUCUGAUCGCAUGGUUGGUGGUGGAAAGUUUUUCGGCUUGGGAUGGGCUCGCGGCCUAUCAGCUUGUUGGUGGGGUGAUGGCCUACCAAGGCGACGACGGGUAGCCGGCCUGAGAGGGCGACCGGCCACACUGGGACUGAGACACGGCCCAGACUCCUACGGGAGGCAGCAGUGGGGAAUAUUGCACAAUGGGCGGAAGCCUGAUGCAGCGACGCCGCGUGAGGGAUGACGGCCUUCGGGGUUGUAAACCUCUUUCAGCAGGGACGAAGCGUAAGUGACGGUACCUGCAGAAGAAGCGCCGGCCAACUACGUGCCAGCAGCCGCGGUAAGACGUAGGGCGCGAGCGUUGUCCGGAUUUAUUGGGCGUAAAGAGCUCGUAGGCGGCUUGUC
rnacentral:rRNA from 1 species